rnacentral:lncRNA from 1 species
GUGACUCUUCUCUCCUGCUGAAGCCAUGCCCACACAAGGGAAAGUGACUUAUCACUGGGCCCAGCACACAGGUGGAUGGUGACUCUAAGACCAGGAUUCAACACAACUAGAAGGCUUUGACUCUAAUACGAGUCACAGAAGGCUCUGCGACUCUUCUAUUUUCUCUAGGUUAUGCAAAUGGAGGUGGAUUGUGACAUAUCAUAGGGCCAACACAACACACAGUCUACAGGUGGAAUUGGGACUCUCAUGCAUGGAUCCAGUUCAUCAUUGAUACUGUGACUCAGGUGGGAUUUUGACAUAUAACUGCACCCAGCACACAGGUGAGAUUGUGACUCUUGUAUGCUCAUCCUGCCAAAAGUUGAGUGUCACCCUCACACAUGGACAGAGACUUCUGUGGUCCAUUACAUUGAUGACAUUAUGCUGAUUGAAUCCAGUAAGCAAGAAAUAGCAAACACACCAGACUUAUUCAUGAGACGUUUGCAUGCCAGAGGAUGGAAAAUAAGUCUGACUAAAAUUUAGAGACCUUCUAGCUCAGUAAAACUUCCAGGGGUCCAGUGGUCCAAGGCCUGUCAAGAUAGUCCUUCUAAGGUAAAAGAUGCAGUGGCUCAUGCCUGUAAUCCCAGCACUUUCGGAGGCUGAGGUGGGCAGAUCAGGAGGUUAGGAGUUCGAGACCAGCCUGGCCAACAUGGUGAAAUGCCAUCUCUACUAAAAUUUUAAAAAAUUAGCUAGACGUGGUGGCAGGCACCUGUAAUCUCAGCUACAUGGGAGGUUGAGGCAGGAGAAUUGCUUGAAACUGGAAGGCAGGGGUUGCAGUGAGCUGAGAUCAGGCCACUGCAUUCCAGCCUGGACAACAAGAGUAAAACUCCAUCUCAAAAAAAUUUGUUUAUAUAUAUGUUUAUAUGAUUAUGUGUCAUUUUCUUGAGUCAUUUUAUUUUAAGUAAAAGAAACUGCCUUCAGCA